GAAAUGCGAUAAGUAGUGUGAAUUGCAGAAUUCAGUGAAUCAUCGAAUCUUUGAACGCACAUUGCGCCCUUUGGUAUUCCAAAGGGCAUGCCUGUUCGAGCGUCAUUUGUACCCUCAAGCUUUGCUUGGUGUUGGGCGUCUUGUCUCUAGCUUUGCUGGAGACUCGCCUUAAAGUAAUUGGCAGCCGGCCUACUGGUUUCGGAGCGCAGCACAAGUCGCACUCUCUAUCAGAAAAGGUCUAGCAUCCAUUAAGCCUUUUUUCAACUUUUGACCUCGGAUCAGGUAGGGAUACCCGCUGAACUUAAGC
rnacentral:misc_RNA from 1 species